rnacentral:rRNA from 1 species
GACGAACGCUGGCGGCGUGCUUAACACAUGCAAGUCGAACGGAAAGGCCCUGCUUUUGUGGGGUGCUCGAGUGGCGAACGGUUGAGUAACACGUGCGUAACCUGCCCUUGACUUUGGGAUAACUUCAUGAAACUGGGGCUAAUACCGGAUAGGAGCUCCUGCUGCAUGGUGGGGGUUGGAAAGUUUCGGCGGUUGGGGAUGGACUCGCGGCUUAUCAGCUUGUUGGUGGGGUAGUGGCUUACCAAGGCUUUGACGGGUAGCCGGCCUGAGAGGGUGACCGGCCACAUUGGGACUGAGAUACGGCCAAGACUCCUACGGGAGGAAGCAGUGGGGAAUAUUGCACAAUGGGCGGAAGCCUGAUGCAGCAACGCAGCGUGCGGGAUGACGGCCUUAGGGUUGUAAACCGCUUUCGCCUGUGACGAAGCGUGAGUGACGGUAAUGUGUAAAGAAGCACCGGCUAACUACGUG